GACAGAGGGUGCAAACGUUGUUCGGAUUUACUGGGCGUAAAGCGCGUGUAGGCGGCUUUGCAAGUCGGAUGUGAAAGCCCACGGCUCAACCGUGGAAGUGCAUCCGAAACUGCAUGGCUUGAGUCUCGGAGAGGAAGGUGGAAUGCUUGGUGUAGAGGUGAAAUUCGUAGAUAUCAAGCAGAACACCUGCGGCGAAGGCGGGUUGCUUGUCUGACACUGACGCUGAGGCGCGAAAGCCAGGGGAGCAAACGGG
rnacentral:rRNA from 1 species